CGGACGCUCUCGGCGGCACGUCAAGAGUUUUAAACGUGGUAUGACGGAGGGAGUGCCGCAAAAUUUGUGCAACAGAAUCCACAUUGCCUGUCUGGUCUACUUUCCUGACGUAGGUCCAGAAACCUGUUUUGAUUUGAUGGUUUUGGCGUCAGUGAGACGGCGGUCUGUUUCAGGUGACGGUGUAAAGUCUGCUGAACAGACACGUCUGGAAAUAAAGAGAUCUAUUCAGCGCUUAAUGGCAGCCUAUAGGGCAGUGCACCAUGUGUUCUCGAGUGGAAGAGCACCCUAGAGGGUACUUCAUCAUGCUUCCUAUCAUGUAAGGAGCUUAUAGGUCACUGCAUCAUGCAUUCUUUACUUGAAGUGCACACUACAAAGCACUUCAUCAUGUUUCCUAUUAUGUAGGGAGCCUAUAGGGCACUGCACCAUAUGUUCUC
ensembl:lncRNA